rnacentral:rRNA from 1 species
UUGCGGCGUGCUUAACACAUGCAAGUCGAACGGAAAGGCCCUGCUUUUGUGGGGUGCUCGAGUGGCGAACGGGUGAGUAACACGUGAGUAACCUGCCCUUGACUUUGGGAUAACUUCAGGAAACUGGGGCUAAUACCGGAUAGGAGCUCCUGCUGCAUGGUGGGGGUUGGAAAGUUUCGGCGGUUGGGGAUGGACUCGCGGCUUAUCAGCUUGUUGGUGGGGUAGUGGCUUACCAAGGCUUUGACGGGUAGCCGGCCUGAGAGGGUGACCGGCCACAUUGGGACUGAGAUACGGCCCAGACUCCUACGGGAGGCAGCAGUGGGGAAUAUUGCACAAUGGGCGGAAGCCUGAUGCAGCAACGCCGCGUGCGGGAUGACGGCCUUCGGGUUGUAAACCGCUUUCGCCUGUGACGAAGCGUGAGUGACGGUAAUGGGUAAAGAAGCACCGGCUAACUACGUGCCAGCAGCCGCGGUGAUACGUAGGGUGCGAGCGUUGUCCGGAUUUAUUGGGCGUAAAGGGCUCGUAGGUGGUUGAUCGCGUCGGAAGUGUAAUCUUGGGGCUUAACCCUGAGCGUGCUUUCGAUACGGGUUGACUUGAGGAAGGUAGGGGAGAAUGGAAUUCCUGGUGGAGCGGUGGAAUGCGCAGAUAUCAGGAGGAACACCAGUGGCGAAGGCGGUUCUCUGGGCCUUUCCUGACGCUGAGGAGCGAGAGCGUGGGGAGCGAACAGGCUUAGAUACCCUGGUAGUCCACGCUGUAAACGGUGGGUACUAGGUGUGGGGUCCAUUCCACGGGUUCCGUGCCGUAGCUAACGCUUUAAGUACCCCGCCUGGGGAGUACGGCCGCAAGGCUAAAACUCAAAGGAAUUGACGGGGCCCCGCACAAGCGGCGGAGCAUGCGGAUUAAUUCGAUGCAACGCGUAGAACCUUACCUGGGUUUGACAUGGAUCGGGAGUGCUCAGAGAUGGGUGUGCCUCUUUUGGGGUCGGUUCACAGGUGGUGCAUGGCUGUCGUCAGCUCGUGUCGUGAGAUGUUGGGUUAAGUCCCGCAACGAGCGCAACCCUUGUUCACUGUUGCCAGCACGUUAUGGUGGGGACUCAGUGGAGACCGCCGGGGUCAACUCGGAGGAAGGUGGGGAUGACGUCAAGUCAUCAUGCCCCUUAUGUCCAGGGCUUCACGCAUGCUACAAUGGCUGGUACAGAGAGUGGCGAGCCUGUGAGGGUGAGCGAAUCUCGGAAAGCCGGUCUCAGUUCGGAUUGGGGUCUGCAACUCGACCUCAUGAAGUCGGAGUCGCUAGUAAUCGCAGAUCAGCAACGCUGCGGUGAAUACGUUCCCGGGGCUUGUACACACCGCCCGUCAAGUCAUGAAAGUUGGUAACACCCGAAGCCGGUGGCCUAACCGUUGUGGGGGAGCCGUCGAAGGUGGGACUGGUGAUUAGGA